rnacentral:rRNA from 1 species
ACCUGAAACCUUGUGCUUACAAACAGUCAAAGGCCUACGGGCUGAUGGCGUACUUUUUGUAGAACGGUCCGGCGAGUUACUAAUGCCAGCGAGGUUAAGUACUGAGAAGGUACGGAGCCGAAGGGAAACCAAGUCUGAAUAGGGCGUAGAGUUGGUAUUAGUAGACCCGAAACCGGGUGACCUAUCCAUGUCCAGGUUGAAGGAACCGUAAAAGGUUUUGGAGGACCGAACACACAUGUGUUGAAAAACGUGGUGAUGAGGUGUGGAUAGCGGAGAAAUUCCAAUCGAACUCGGAGAUAGCUGGUUCUCCUCGAAAUAGCUUUAGGGCUAGCCUCGAGCUGGAGUCUAACGGAGGUAAAGCACUGAACUGACGCGGGGCCCAAAAAGGUUACCAACUCAUAUCAAACUAAGAAUGCCGUCAAGAUACCCUCGGGAGUCAGUCUGCGUGAGAUAAGUCGCGUGGACAAAAGGGAAAGAGCCCAGACCGACAGCUAAGGUCCCAAAGUACGUGUUAAGUGGAAAAGGAUGUGGGAUUUCAUAGACAACUAGGAUGUUGGCUUAGAAGCAGCCAUACAUUUAAAGAGUGCGUAAUAGCUCACUAGUCGAGAAAACCUGCGCCGAAAAUGUAACGGGGCUAAAACACGACACCGAAGCUACGGAUUCCUUACAAAGUAAGGAGUGGUAGAGGAGCAUCCUGCAAGGACGAAGCCAAAGUGAGAGCGAUGGUGGACGAAACAGGAGAGAGAAUGCCGGAAUGAGUAGCGAGAUACAUGUGAGAAACAUGUAGGCCGAAUAUCUAAGGAUUCCUGGGUAAAGCUAAUCUUCCCAGGGUUAGUCGGGGCCUAAGGCGAGGACGAAAGUCGUAGUCGAUGGAUAACAGGUUGAUAUUCCUGUACUACACAUAAUCAGAACUGUGGGGACGCAGGAGGAUAGGGAAACCGGGGAAUGGAAAGACCCGGUCAAGCGUAAAGCUGUGGGAGAUAGGCAAAUCCGUCUCUUGUAAGUGAAACGUGAUGAGGACUGAAAAAAAGUAAGGAAGUUUCCGAAUCCACACUGCCGAGAAAAGCCGCUAUUGCGUUAUGUGUACCCGUACCGUAAACCGACACAGGUAGAUGAGGAGAAAAUCCACAGGCCGACGGGAGAAGUGUUGUUAAGGAACUCGGCAAAAUGACCCCGUAACUUCGGGAUAAGGGGAGCCUCGCAAGAGGCCGCAGAAAAGAGGCACAAGCAACUGUUUAGCAAAAACAUAGGUCUAUGCGAAACCGUAAGGUGAAGUAUAUGGGCUGACGCCUGCCCGGUGCUGGAAGGUUAAAAGGAGAGGUCAGCGCAAGCGAAGCUUUGAAUUCAAGCCCCAGUAAACGGCGGCCGUAACUAUAACGGUCCUAAGGUAGCGAAAUUCCUUGUCAGGUAAGUUCUGACCCGCACGAAAGGCGUAAUGAUUUGUGCACUGUCUCGACAACACGCCCGGUGAAAUUGAAGAACCAGUGAAGAUACUGGUUACCCGCAACAGGACGGAAAGACCCCAUGGAGCUUUACUGCAGCCUGAUACUGGGAUUCGAUGAUAUAUGUACAGGAUAGGUGGGAGGCUAAGAAGCGAGAACGCUAGUUUUCGUGGAGCCGCCGGUGGGAUACCACUCUUAUGUCAUUGAAUUUCUAACCUGCAUCCGUAAUCCGGGUGAGGGACAAUGUCAGGCGGGCAGUUUGACUGGGGCGGUCGCCUCCUAAAAGGUAACGGAGGCGCUCGAAGGUCACCUCAGAAUGAUUGGAAACCAUUCAAAGAGUGUAAAGGCAAAAGGUGGCUUGACUGCGAGAGCGACGGCUCGAGCAGGUACGAAAGUAGGACUUAGUGAUCCGGUGGUAAUAAGUGGGAAUGCCAUCGCUCAACGGAUAAAAGCUACCCUG